ensembl:lncRNA
AUGGCAUUUAACAAUAUAAAUCUCCAUUUUCAAUGCUUGCAUAAAUCUAAUGAUUUUUUUCUCUUGAGCAAAGAGUCUUUAAUGCCUUCCUGGUGUGUUUUGCAGAGCACUGGAUCAACAUCACACAUGGAAUAUAUUUGUAAAGAGACAGGCAGGAUUAUGUCAUACCCAGAAGGGAUAAUAAUCAGGUUUCACAAGCUCAGCAUCAAAUACAGGUCUUCCAUACCAGAGGCCACCUGCUCCAACAGAACAGCAGCCCUUUAUGAAUUAGACAUUCAACCACAUUCUUCAACGCUAAAGUGCCCUGCUUCCAUCUCUGCAAAAUGAACCUAGCACUUUCAACAAGGAAGCACAGAGCUGUGAUAUCAACAAACGGUCUGAAUGAAUAAGUGAGCUUUGGGAUCUUGAAGUUUUCUAUGUGAAGCAGUAUUUGAAUCAGUCUUUAUGAUUUUAGGAUUUUGCAUAAUUUUUAGCUUUCAGCUNNNNNNNNNAGAAGUGAGUCACCCUCUUGUACUGUUCCAUUUUUAAUUAAGCAAGGAUUCAAAACCAUGUUUUCAUUGUUAGCUUUAAAAAUAAGUUGCCUCUCCUGCGAUCUCCGUUCCCCUUCCAAUAGGGAUGUCCUACAGAAAAUAAACAAAGGUAUGCUGUACCCUUAGAGAGACAACAUUAGCCCCCAUAAACACACUCCGCUGCCUACAUUUUUAGAAUAUUUAUGCUCAAUUUUGUACUUGUGUUGGUUUGUACAGUAGAGUGUCAGCAUUCUGACAUUUGUUGCUUAGAGAACUUUAUCACCACACAACAUGACAUGAAGCAGUUGGCAAAUGUCAAUCUUCCCAGGAAUGUUUGCCUUUUUAUUUGAUCUGAGCCAAAGAGAAACUCUUUAGAGGAAUUCCUUCUUUAUAAGACUUGGUUGACCUAUAAAAAGGAAAGCAAAGGUAUGACUUAUCUUGAUUUUGAAAUUCUACCUUUCAUUUUGAGAGUUAAGAUAAUAUGACAGAUAUCACAUAGAAACAGGAGCUGCAGUCAUAGAGUUAGUCAAUGUGUUCCCUUAAUUACAAAAUCCUUAAUGAACAUGAUUGAAAGGCUUUUCUUAAUUGUAAAUGUAUGUUGCAUCAUUUGAUGCUAGACACACUGAAGGAAAAAUAAACAUUUUUGACAAAAGGCGUGCUAUUCCAAGUAUAUUAUUUGAUGCAAAAACACUAUGUUUUUGUGUUACUCGAGUAUCCAUCUGAAACAGUUGGGGAAAAUAAUUGCAAAAAAUUGAACAUGGGUAAUAUUUAUCUGUAAACAUCCUGAAGUUUCUCUGAGAAGUGAUAUGAUUAACUCAACAUUCAAUAUGUAUGUAUUUUGGUAUAAGUCUCUGUCUUAGAACACAAAUGUACAUAUUCUGAUUAUAUUUUUUUCCUCGCUCCCUGAUUAUGCUGUUUUUUAAAUUAAACAACUUUUGUUUUCCAAAUUCUACUUAUGAUAGCUGCAUUAAACACCAUCUAGUAUACAAAGAAGAAAAUAAAUAUUUCAAUAGAAGGUGUUUUGAAAAUAUUUCAAUGGCAUCUUGAGCAAAAAUUAAACACAGAUAAACAUAGAUAUGAAGAGAAGAAAAAUAAUCAAGAAUCUGUUGGCUAUGCAGAAACAAGAGAAGAGAGAAUUUCAGACUUGUACUUUUAGUGGGAAACAACAACAACAACUUCAAAUUGAUUGCUUUAAGAAAUUUGUUUCCAUGAGGCAUAAUUCCCCUGCAAAUUAUAGUUUCUAUUUUAAAGUAAGCCUUUAGCAGAGCAUAUUGUAUAUAACUAAANNNNNNNNNNNNNNNNNNNNNNNNNNNCCUAUUUUUAUCAUAUAAUAACACAAGCAUUAGAUUUCCUGUAUCCUCUAUAAAGUUAACCUAAUUUCUACAGCCUUUUCCCAUACACACAGACACAAGCACACACUUACAUGCUUUUAUGUUUUUUCUUCUCUCUAACCCAUCUGAUAUGGUUUACAAUAAUUUUAUUUUCAUGUCUGUCCUUUAAAAUUCUUACAAAAGUAAACCAACUUAAAACUCAGUUCCCUGAGAACAAUUUUUUUUAUUUGAAGAUUUAAGCAGCCA